GCAUGGUCUUAGCUUGCUAAGGCCGAUGGCGACCGGCGCACGGGUGAGUAACACGUAUCCAACCUGCCGUCUACUCUUGGACAGCCUUCUGAAAGGAAGAUUAAUACAAGAUGGCAUCAUGAGUCCGCAUGUUCACAUGAUUAAAGGUAUUCCGGUAGACGAUGGGGAUGCGUUCCAUUAGAUAGUAGGCGGGGUAACGGCCCACCUAGUCUUCGAUGGAUAGGGGUUCUGAGAGGAAGGUCCCCCACAUUGGAACUGAGACACGGUCCAAACUCCUACGGGAGGCAGCAGUGAGGAAUAUUGGUCAAUGGGCGAGAGCCUGAACCAGCCAAGUAGCGUGAAGGAUGACUGCCCUAUGGGUUGUAAACUUCUUUUAUAAAGGAAUAAAGUCGGGUAUGGAUACCCGUUUGCAUGUACUUUAUGAAUAAGGAUCGGCUAACUCCGUGCCAGCAGCCGCGGUAAUACGGAGGAUCCGAGCGUUAUCCGGAUUUAUUGGGUUUAAAGGGAGCGUAGAUGGAUGUUUAAGUCAGUUGUGAAAGUUUGCGGCUCAACCGUAAAAUUGCAGUUGAUACUGGAUAUCUUGAGUGCAGUUGAGGCAGGCGGAAUUCGUGGUGUAGCGGUGAAAUGCUUAGAUAUCACGAAGAACUCCGAUUGCGAAGGCAGCCUGCUAAGCUGCAACUGACAUUGAGGCUCGA
rnacentral:rRNA from 1 species